GUAUUGCUCCGGUAAUACACAUACUAAAAUUGGAACGAUUCAGAGAAGAUUAGCGUGGUCCCUGCGCAAGGAUGACAUGCAAAUCCGUGAAGCGUUUCAUAUUUUU